rnacentral:rRNA from 1 species
UACGGAGGGGGCGAGCGUUAUUCGGAAUUAUUGGGCGUAAAGCGUGCGCAGGCGGUUUUGUAAGUCUGUCGUGAAAGCCCCGGGCUCAACCUGGGAAUUGCGAUGGAGACUGCAAGGCUUGAAUCUGGCAGAGGGGGGUAGAAUUCCACGUGUAGCAGUGAAAUGCGUAGAGAUGUGGAGGAACACCGAUGGCGAAGGCAGCCCCCUGGGUCAAGAUUGACGCUCAUGCACGAAAGCGUGGGGGAGC